CAUUAUUAAUAGGUUUUACAUAAUAUCAUUAUUAUUUGUACAACUUGUAUUUUGAAUAUUGAUUUCACUUGUAUUUAUGUGAUAGGAACUAUCUGUACAUUCUAUGUUUUGUUGGGACGCUUUUAGUGGUGACAAGUUCCAGACAUCGCGGUAAAGUAGCGGCGGUAAAGUUUAGUACUCUGAAAGAUAAGUUAAAUUAACGACGUGUUUAUUUACAAGUAUUCUUGUUUCUAAGUGGACCCAUUUCCCUCUCAGUUGUGUGCAGCCAGCGAGUUCGACGGUGGAUUGAUGACGGUGGAGAAUUUAGUAGAAGAAUAAAUCCAUCAGUGACCAGAACAGCGGCGUCGUGUAUUUCCUGGAGGGAGUGAUAGUUAGAAAACCCUUACCACGUUAUUAUGAUCGAUUGUUAGAAAACUCUUACCUCGAGUCCCAGAAAUAUA